rnacentral:misc_RNA from 1 species
UUUUCGUAAGUGAACCUGCGGAAGGAUCAUUGUAGAGUUUCUUUUCAAACAGAUGUGAAGUUGUACCGAUACCCAUCGAGAACAAAUCGUUUUUAUUGUUAGCAUUUGCGUUUUUUAGAUGGGUUCCCUUUGCUGCCUUCAUCUUCGCUUCAUUUGAAGUGAGAAGUAGAGUAGAAAUAAAAGACCACACGGUUUGUGCCAAAGAUAGUUGUUGUCGGAGUACAUUGCCAUCUUUUUGAUGUCUUUGUGUUACUCUACGAGCAUAUAAUGACUCCUGGCAAUGGAUAUCUUGGCUCUC